rnacentral:rRNA from 1 species
GGUGCAAGCGUUAUCCGGAUUCACUGGGUUUAAAGGGUGCGUAGGUGGGAUGGUAAGUCAGUGGUGAAAUCUCCGGGCUUAACCCGGAAACUGCCGUUGAUACUAUCAUUCUUGAAUAUUGUGGAGGUAAGCGGAAUAUGUCAUGUAGCGGUGAAAUGCUUAGAUAUGACAUAGAACACCGAUAGCGAAGGCAGCUUGCUACACAAUUAUUGACACUGAGGCACGAAAGCGUGGGGAUCAAACAGG